rnacentral:rRNA from 1 species
CCGCAGCCCGAGUGGUGCUCGCUAUUAUUGAGUCUAAAACGUCCGUAGCUGGUCUAAUAAAUCCUUGGGUAAAUCGGGCAGCUCAACUGUCCGAAUUCCGAGGAGACUGUUAGACUUGGGACCGGAAGAGGUCAGAGGUACUCCAGGGGUAGGGGUGAAAUCCUGUAAUCCUUGGGGGACCACCAGUGGCGAAGGCGUCUGACUUGGACGGAUCCGACAGUAAGGGACGAAGCCCUGGGGCGCAAACCGGAUUAGAUACCCGAGUAGUCC